rnacentral:piRNA from 1 species
UCCCAUCCUCGUCGUGUGUAGCUGU